UACGUAGGGGGCAAGCGUUGUCCGGAUUUAUUGGGCGUAAAGAGCGUGUAGGCGGUUUGGUAGGUCCGUUGGGAAAACUCGAGGCUCAACCUCGAGACGCCGAUGGAAACCAUCAGACUAGAGUCCGGAAGAGGAGAGUGGAAUUCCUGGUGUAGCGGUGAAAUGCGCAGAUAUCAGGAAGAACACCCGUGGCUAAGGCGGCUCUCUAGUACGGUACUGACGCUGAGACGCGAAAGCGUGGGGAGCGAACAGG
rnacentral:rRNA from 1 species